rnacentral:rRNA from 1 species
UGGUCAGGACGAACGCUGGCGGCGUGCCUAAUACAUGCAAGUCGAGCGAACAGAAGGGAGCUUGCUCCCGGAUGUUAGCGGCGGACGGGUGAGUAACACGUGGGUAACCUGCCUGUAAGACUGGGAUAACUCCGGGAAACCGGAGCUAAUACCGGAUAGUUCCUUGAACCGCAUGGUUCAAGGAUGAAAGACGGUUUCGGCUGUCACUUACAGAUGGACCCGCGGCGCAUUAGCUAGUUGGUGGGGUAAUGGCUCACCAAGGCGACGAUGCGUAGCCGACCUGAGAGGGUGAUCGGCCACACUGGGACUGAGACACGGCCCAGACUCCUACGGGAGGCAGCAGUAGGGAAUCUUCCGCAAUGGACGAAAGUCUGACGGAGCAACGCCGCGUGAGUGAUGAAGGUUUUCGGAUCGUAAAGCUCUGUUGUUAGGGAAGAACAAGUGCGAGAGAACUGCUCGCACCUGACGG